CCGAAAAUUCCAACAAAUUCUCCAAAUUCAUCAAUUGUUCUUCAUGUUCAUCUUUUGUUCAUAAAAAAAAUGCUAGAUCAUAUACAAACAGCAAAUCUCAUACAAAAUUUGUUUUUAAAAGAUUAAACACUUAUAUUUCUCAUGAAAUUUCUAAUGUUCAUCAUCCAAAAUCAAGUUUGAUCUCCAUUAAUACCAAAACCAACCGGAAAUUAGUUUCUUUUGUAUCAAACCAAUCUUUUUCCUCUCUAAGCCCAAGAACCCCAAGAACACUCCCAAAAAACAAAAUCCCAAAUGUUCUUGAUUUCAUCCUAAACUAAAUCCUGGUUUCAAUAGAAACCACCCACUUCAACCUCCCAGCCUACCCAAAACUCGACACCGGCCAAACUAUGAUCGCCAACUUUAACUCCGAUCAACGGUCGCCGUCUACCGGUGUCUUCGAAACCCGAAAAAUACACAUAUUUGAACCCAAAAAAAAGAAAUAAAACUCACCCAAAAGUUGUGCUUCCCUCCGGCGAUGAAAUGAUGGUGGACGGUGGCGACAUGGCGGCCACGAUGGCGGAUACAACCGAACCGGCACGUGAGUCACACGCCGUGUUGAUGAUGAUUAGGUCCUUUGGAGAAGACAACAUGGAUCCAAUGGCUUAGAUGGCUUUUUGCUUCUUUGCCAUGGAUUGAUGACAUGGCACUAUGUGAGUCAUUGGAUCGAAUUUCUCAUCAAGGGUCCAUAUAUUUUUGUGUCCAAGGGUCCAUAUAAAUUUGUGUUUGUUUCAGUUGGAUUGAAUCCUCCCUAGCCAUUGGAUCCAAGACAAUCGAUGGUUGGAAUUUGUUUGGUUUUCUUUCACUUGGAUAGGUGAUGUAAGCACCUAAAAUGUUGGGCCAAUUUAACUUUCAAAACAAAACAAACAUUCCCCCAAAAUUACAUCAAAAAUUCAAAAUUGGCGGCUGGAGGAGUAGUUUUAGGCAUUUUUUUGUUUUCUUAGUUUUUAUUAUUUAAUGUAUAUAUUGUAAUAUGAUGUGGGCUUACGUUGGGCCUAUGUAAAACAAAUGUAAAUAGACCUUCUUUUUGGGUUUUUUUU